rnacentral:rRNA from 1 species
UACGUAGGGGGCAAGCGUUGUCCGGAAUUAUUGGGCGUAAAGAGCUCGUAGGCGGUUCGGCAAGUCGGAUGUGAAAUCUCCACGCUUAACGUGGAGGGGCCAUUCGAAACUGCUGUGACUCGAGUCCGGUAGGGGAGUGUGGAAUUCCCGGUGUAGCGGUGAAAUGCGCAGAUAUCGGGAGGAACACCAGUGGCGAAGGCGGCGAUCUGGGAAGAUACUGACGCUGAGGUGCGAAAGCGUGGGGAGCAAACAGG